GAGUUUGAUCAUGGCUCAGGAUGAACGCUGGCGGCGUGCUUAACACAUGCAAGUCGAACGAACCUUCGGGUUAGUGGCGGACGGGUGAGUAACGCGUGAGAAUCUGCCCUCAGGAGGGGGACAACAGCUGGAGACGGCUGCUAAUACCCCAUAUGCCGCGAGGUGAAAUGAAUUUCGCCUGAGGAUGAGCUCGCGUCUGAUUAGCUAGUUGGUGAGGUAAUGGCUCACCAAGGCUUCGAUCAGUAGCUGGUCUGAGAGGAUGAUCAGCCACACUGGGACUGAGACACGGCCCAGACUCCUACGGGAGGCAGCAGUGGGGAAUUUUCCGCAAUGGGCGAAAGCCUGACGGAGCAACGCCGCGUGAGGGACGAAGGCCUCUGGGCUGUAAACCUCUUUUCUCAAGGAAGAAGAUAUGACGGUACUUGAGGAAUAAGCCACGGCUAAUUCCGUGCCAGCAGCCGCGGUAAUACGGGAGUGGCAAGCGUUAUCCGGAAUUAUUGGGCGUAAAGCGUCCGCAGGCGGCUUUUCAAGUCUGCUGUUAAAGCGUGGAGCUUAACUCCAUCAUGGCAGUGGAAACUGAAAGGCUUGAGUAUGGUAGGGGCAGAGGGAAUUCCCGGUGUAGCGGUGAAAUGCGUAGAUAUCGGGAAGAACACCAGUGGCGAAGGCGCUCUGCUGGGCCAUUACUGACGCUCAUGGACGAAAGCCAGGGGAGCGAAAGGGAUUAGAUACCCCUGUAGUCCUGGCCGUAAACGAUGAACACUAGGUGUCGGGGGAAUCGACCCCUUCGGUGUCGUAGCUAACGCGUUAAGUGUUCCGCCUGGGGAGUACGCACGCAAGUGUGAAACUCAAAGGAAUUGACGGGGGCCCGCACAAGCGGUGGAGUAUGUGGUUUAAUUCGAUGCAACGCGAAGAACCUUACCAGGGUUUGACAUCCUGCGAACCUCUUAGAAAUUUGAGGGUGCCUUCGGGAAUGCAGUGACAGGUGGUGCAUGGCUGUCGUCAGCUCGUGUCGUGAGAUGUUGGGUUAAGUCCCGCAACGAGCGCAACCCACGUUUUUAGUUGCCAGCAUUUAGUUGGGCACUCUAGAAAGACCGCCGGUGAUAAACCGGAGGAAGGUGUGGAUGACGUCAAGUCAUCAUGCCCCUUACACCCUGGGCUACACACGUACUACAAUGCUACGGACAAAGGGCAGCAAACUCGCGAGAGCUAGCAAAUCCCAUAAACCGUGGCUCAGUUCAGAUCGUAGGCUGCAACUCGCCUACGUGAAGUAGGAAUCGCUAGUAAUCGCAGGUCAGCAUACUGCGGUGAAUACGU
rnacentral:rRNA from 1 species